rnacentral:rRNA from 1 species
GCCAGACUUCUACGGGAGGCAGCAGUGGGGAAUAUUGGGCAAUGGGCGCAAGCCUGACCCAGCAACGCCGCGUGAAGGAAGAAGGCCCUCGGGUUGUAAACUUCUUUUAUCAGGGACGAAACAAAUGACGGUACCUCUUGAAUAAGCCACGGCUAACUACGUGCCAGCAGCCGCGGUAAUACGUAGGUGGCAAGCGUUAUCCGGAUUUAUUGGGUGUAAAGGGCGUGUAGGCGGGAAAGCAAGUCAGAUGUGAAAACUAUGGGCUCAACCCAUAGCCUGCAUUUGAAACUGUUUUUCUUGAGUGCUGGAGAGGCAAUCGGAAUUCCGUGUGUAGCGGUGAAAUGCGUAGAUAUUAGGAGGAACACCAGUGGCGAAGGCGACUUUCUGGACAGUAACUGACGUUGAGGCACGAAAGUGUGGGGAGCAAACAGGAUUAGAUACCCGAGUAA